UACAGAGGUCUCAAGCGUUGUUCGGAUUCAUUGGGCGUAAAGGGUGCGUAGGCGGCGCGGUAAGUCGGGUGUGAAAUCUCGGAGCUUAACUCCGAAACUGCAUUCGAUACUGCCGUGCUUGAGGACUGGAGAGGAGACUGGAAUUUACGGUGUAGCGGUGAAAUGCGUAGAUAUCGUAAGGAAGACCAGUGGCGAAGGCGGGUCUCUGGACAGUUCCUGACGCUGAGGCACGAAGGCCAGGGGGAGCAAACAGG
rnacentral:rRNA from 1 species